GAGAAAUAAGAUCGGCCGCACUGAAAAAAAAAUAAAACCGCUGACAUGAAGUCGGCAGCUCUUUUGUUCUUCCUCUGGAUAUUCUGGUAACUCUGGAGAAUCCCGAACCAUACAAGAGUUUGGAUCGCAAGGGACCUUUCAAAAUUAUCCACUGCAACCCUCAAGAACAGAGGUCCUCACUGCCUGAGGUGUGCCUGAUCUGACAUUGAUCUGACAAGGCUGGGCCAUUCAUGCUGUUUUUUCUCCAAGGCAAUAAAAAUAACGAGUGCUA